GAAUUUACAGUUGUGUCUCUAAUGCUCUUUUCUUUAACUUACAGAAGCUGUUCCUCGCCCUGGAUUCUUUUAGGCCGGAGAAGAACAAUUUUGAGGCCAUGAUUUCUUAUUAUGGUAAAAUCCUAUAUUAAUUACCAGUUCCUUAAGUUGUUCUGCUUUACAGCUUUUCACUGGAAAUAGAGACUGUAACCCCCCAGCAUCCCCAUUUAAAUUCAGCACUUUUAUCUUGCUGCACCUUGAUUCACCCAAGCCACUUUCCUGGUACCUGACUGCCCAUGUGCUUAGCCUGAAUCAGUAAAAGUGAUACCUGGGAGCAGCACCCCCCACCCUUGAUCACCCAUCCCUCCUGCCACAGUGAAGCGAGUGGGGGGAAUCAGGGUUAAUGGGUAGGGAGGGGUGAUAAGGAGCUAAAGCAGUGAUGCCAUGCAGUGUUUAAGACUUUCCACAAGCUCCAGUACAACCCCAUUAAAUGGGAAGUUGUCUACAGAACAUAACACUAGCACAAAAGUGCAAUCAUGGCGUCUCUAAUUGGCUGUAAAAGGCUGUAGCGUUAGUUUAUUAUUGUUGAAUUCCUUUCCCUCUUUCAGCUCAAUGUUUAAAGGAAAUGUAUUUUUCUCUGCAGAAGAUUACUACAGAUACCAUUCUCUGGAAGAGGAAAACCUGUAAGUAAAACAUAAAUAGUCUUAUUACAUGUUGGGAAUUGUUUACCACUGCCAGGAGGGUAAGUGCAAGAGCAGUAAGGGUGGAAAUUCGCACCCCUUAGGGCAGUGACCCACUGGGAGAUUAGUCGCCACGUGACUUUCUGUGUUUGGCGUCACACUGUAUCCGCUAUAAUGAAUAGGUGCAUCUACAGUAGAAAUACAAAGGAAUAGUAGACAUAACCUAUUGUUAAUGCUCAGUGGGAAUUCUUUUUCAGGAAAGAUUUUCUGCUUUGUUACACCAUCGAGAACAUCGCCGAUGACGAGAACAUCCCCAAUUAUUUUGUCAUGAUUGAUAAUCUGAGGAAACUGGAAGUACUCGAGGGGAUGUAUUUUAUUGCGUGCCCUCUUGCGUCACCAACGACGCAAGAAGGACAAAACCUGCGCAGCCAGUAUGAGGCACUGGUAAUUCUUCAUACAGUAAGUUCCCUGGAUCACCGUCCCUUGUGCUUUGUUGUAGAUUUAUUGCCAAAUGUGCUUUAAUCAGCUGAUU